GGCUGCGAGCGCUAGAGGCCGGGGCGCGGGCGGUCGGCCGGGGUGCGGCAGCAGCGGCGGGAAGCGCGGGGGCUGGAGCUCAGGGGCGCGGGCGCCGGGGCGGUGGCGGACGGGGAGGGGGCCGCCGGGCGGGGCGCGGGAUGCGGGAACGGUGCGCUGGGCCGGGCCGAGGCGGGCGCGGGGCGGCGACGGGGCCUCGCUCUUUGUCUCGGCUCGCUCCAAAAUGGCUGCGGCGGCGCUGACGGGAGCGCCGGGCGGGCGCCGUGCGCGGUGGCAGCGGCGGCGCAGGGCCCGUCCGAGGCCCGGGGAACAGCGCGCGGGGAUGCCGGGGCGCCGCCGGGCGGCGCGCAGGCCCUGGAGUGGAUGGGCCUGGGAGGCGGGCGGGAACGGGGAGGGGACUGUCGCAGCGCGCCCUGGGGACGGGGACCGGCGCCCGGCCCCUCCAAGCCGCCGCGGGGAAGCUGGGUCCGCCUCUGGCUCAGCCGGUCCCGGGCGGUGGGGAGGGGUCCUGCGCGCACGGCUCUUCUCGCCCUCCAAUCGUGACCACCCCUGGCCCUUCCCUCCAUUUUUAAUCAAUAAACCCAGCCGCCCCGGGCUGACUGUCCCCGCACCCAGCUGCCUUGGAGACAGGAGUGUCGUAUAAGCCCGUAGAGCCCAGAAUAGGUUUCAGAGAGACGCUUCCUUGCCUCGGACCUCACUGGGGCCAAGAGGCCACAGGGUCAGUCUUCGCAGCUGAAGACAGCGCCGCAAUAAGCAGAGACCUCGGGACGAUGAAUGACGUUGCUGACAAAGAAAAUGAUUUUUUUAAUUGCUUUAACAAAGGAGACUGCUAGUCUCGAAAGCAGACCCGAACUGGACCCUUGUGCCUGUUCGAACUGUAGCCUUGCAAAGGAAUGGACUUACUGAUAACUGGAAUACGGGACUUCACCCCAGGCUUGUUUCUCGACAGCAGCAGCAGCCAAUGAGCAUUGAGGACGGAGCCUAGGAGAGGUGCCUCCCCUAUAGGGGAACAGUGUUUGGGGGAAAUCACUGCAAACGUACAGCUGGAGUUUUGUACCUGAACUUUGGCUCCCAGAAGGCAGGAAAGGAAAUGAAUGAAGCAAGCUGAGUAUGGCGGGGAGGGCCCCUGUGGGUACACCUACGGAGCACCUUGAGCUCAGUAGGGGGACAGUCUGAGUUUUCCAGAAAGAACAGAAAUAUAAAGUGAUGAUUAAAUCUCGGGAUUUUUAAUUUUUGAGUGUUGACAACUAAUUAGAACAUUUUUAAAGCAGGUCAAAGCACAGGCAGGCUAACUGGCCCCACGCACAACUUGCAAGGUGGGGCGCACCAGGCUCACUGCACAGCCCAUACCCACAGACCCCUCAGAUUGGAGUCGGGGCAGAAGCAGAACGCAGGACUCGCAGGAAACAGACCAGGUUCCAAGGCCCCCAGGGUCCCAAAGGCUGGGGUAACUGAAGGUUCCCACGCUCAGGCCUCCACUCUUCAAGUCCGCUGCUACUCCACUGAGAUCUGUAAUGAGUCUCCUGCCAUCUACGCACAGUGGUGACUCCUCUUCUCCAAGGCCCCGCCAGGAGUCUUUCAUUCCAACGUGUUCGCAGGAUCUUCUGGGGAACCGUCCAGCCUGGCAGCUGCAGGAACUGCGAGAAGUUAAGGGUCUGUGCCCACCUAUUCCAGCUUCCCUUGCAAGGAGGGUGUUGGGCACCAGAAGGCCCUGGGGAAAGUGGGAGCCGCAGACAGCCAGGCAGCUCUUCUAUGUCUGGGGUUUGCAGGAGCACUGCCUUCCGGGGGGGGGGGGAGGGGAGGCGGGUGAGGACAGCACGUGACUUCCCCUCCUAAUGUUCAUGUGGUGGGGAGUCACCCUGGGGGCCUCCCGCCAAAUUUUAGUAUCUCUGUGAUUUUAGUUGUUGCCCCAAGCAGUUAGGACUUGUGUAGUUUGAAAGAAAAAUCUCACCCAGCAUAAAAAGAGAAAAGGGGGAAUUGUAACAAAUGUUAAUCAUAAGCACUGUUUCAACCCGGAAAAAUGUUUGCUGCCAGGCUGUGGGCAAAGAGGUGGCCUCGGCGGCUGGCAGCUCAGUGGGCCUUCCAAGUUUACUAAGCAGGGUCUUGUAUUUUUAAAUAAAAUAGAGCAUCAGACACGCUCACUUAAAUAUAAAAAAUAAUAAAAACAAGUUUUGAAUUAAGUUUAAGACACAUUAAGAAUAAAACAAAUCUAAGAAUAAAGGGAAUCAGUGAUUUCCAAG
rnacentral:lncRNA from 1 species